UGUUUUAUGGUUGUGUCCUUUCUCAAUCAAAUCAUUUUUAUUUGUCUGGUAAGGCUCAUUUGGUAAACUUGUCUUUCUUUUUUUUUCCCAUUCUAUUCAAAAUAACCAAAAGAAAAAGCAAAAUGAACCAAUCAUUUUUAUCAUUUUGACACUAAUAUAGCCUUUUAUUGGUUGGCAUGUGGAAACAUAGCCACCAUACGAGUACUAGGUCUUACUUAUCCUAGGUCUUUUUUUAUUAUUAUAAAUUAUAGCUUCAAAAAUGGAGGAAUAGCUAUUAUUUUAGGACUUGAUAACAAUAUAAAAAAAUGAAUUUCAGUGCUUUUGGCAAUAUAUCAGUACUUUCCUUUUUUUUUUUUAAUGAAAAUAUAUCAGUACUUUUAAUCUUACUAAUUCAGGUCAAAUUUUCCUUCAUCAUUUUUCAUUUAAAAUUAUCAUUAGCUUACUUACAUGGGUCUUAAGCAGGAGUUACUGGGGCCAAACUAUGCCAAGAAAUAACUAAUGUAGCAGGGCAUCCAUUUCCUGAAAUAUAUAUGGCUACAAAUCAGAUGAGCCAUUGCCAUAAGAUUUUUAGUGCCAAAUCAUAUGUGGUACCAGAGGUAGACUUCAUGAUUGCUACCACAAAGUAACCGUUCUUUCAUCCCAAAACAUCAUAAGUACACCCUGAUUCAUUCUGAUCCUUUAUCAAUUGGUGCUGAAGGCCCUCAAGGGGAGGACAUUGGAGCAUCAAGUCAAGGACAUGGUAAAAGCGGUCAAUCGAAACAGAAGACAAAAAAUGUCAUGAAAGGCAUCAUAAACUUGAUUGCCUUGCUAAAGGUCAGAUUGGAGGCGCUGAUAACAAACUUGCUCAGGAGUUAAAGCAAGAGGGAUCUUCACUUCUAGAAAGUCCAGGAGGUCAAGGAGAAGCAUGAGGAGGACGAUAAUGAUGAGGAAGAAGAGAAGGAGAAUGAGAUGGAAAUUCAAAAGAAAGGGAAGGUUGAA
rnacentral:misc_RNA from 1 species